rnacentral:rRNA from 1 species
AUGAAGACCUACUCCGACAUACAAAAGAAGAAGCUCGAGAUCGAAGAGGCCAAUGCCAAGACAAGAGCAAGGGUGGUCGAGCUUGCGCUAAUCUCCAAGGAAGUGGAGAUCAUGACGGGCGACACGAGCAAGAUGACUCCAAAAAAGAAGGUUGAGUUUGAAGGGAAGCAAAAGUUAAUCCAAAACCGAGAUGCGUGA